UGCGUAGGCGGUGCGGUAAGUCUUCUGUGAAACCUCCGGGCUUAACUCGGAGCCUGCAGGGGAAACUGCCGUGCUGGAGUAUGGGAGAGGUGAGUGGAAUUCCCGGUGUAGCGGUGAAAUGCAUAGAUAUCGGGAGGAACACCUGUGGCGAAAGCGGCUCACUGGACCAUUACUGACGCUGAAGCACGAAAGCUAGGGGAGCAAACAGGAUUAGAUACCCUGGUAGUCCUAGCCCUAAACGAUGAUCGCUUGGUGUGACAGGUACCCAAUCCUGUCGUGCCGGAGCUAACGCGUUAAGCGAUCCGCCUGGGAGUACGGUCGCAAGGCUGAA
rnacentral:rRNA from 1 species